AUGGGUUUGCCUUGGUAUCGUGUUCAUACUAUCGUAUUGAAUGAUCCGAGUCGAUUGCUUGCGGUGCAUAUAAUGCACACAACUCUAGUUUCUGGUUGGGCUGGCUCAAUGGCUUUAUACGAAUUAGCAGUUUUUGAUCCUUCUGAUCCUGUUCUGGAUCCAGUGUGGAGACAAGGUAUGUUCGUAAUUCCCUUCAUGACUCGUUUAGGAAUAACGGAUUCGUGGGGUGGUUGGUGUAUUUCAGGAGGAACUGUAACAAAUCCGGGUAUUUGGAGUUAUGAAGGUGUGGCAGGUACGCAUAUUGUGUUUUCUGGCUUGUGUUUCUUGGCAGCGAUCUGGCAUUGGGUAUAUUGGGACCUAGAAAUAUUCUCUGAUGAGCGCACGGGAAAACCCUCUUUGGAUUUGCCCAAGAUCUUUGGAAUUCAUUUAUUUCUUGCAGGGGUGGCUUGCUUUGGCUUUGAGGCAUUUCAUGUAAUGGGUUUGUAUGGUCCUGGGAUAUGGGUAUCCGAUCCUUAUGGACUAACUGGAAAAGUACAAGCUGUAAAUCUAGCGUGGGGUGCAGAAGGUUUUGAUCCUUUUGUUCCGGGGGGAUAG
rnacentral:rRNA from 1 species